rnacentral:rRNA from 1 species
CAAUAGCGUAUAUUAAAGUUGUUGCGGUUAAAAAGCUCGUAGUUGGAUUUCUGCUGAGAACGACCGGUCCGCCCUCUGGGUGUGUAUCUGGCUCUUUCUUGGCAUCUUCUUGGUGAACGUUGCUGCACUUGACUGUGUGGAGCGCUACCCAGGACUUUUACUUUGAGGAAAUUAGAGUGUUUCAAGCAGGCAUACGCCUUGAAUACAUUAGCAUGGAAUAAUAAGAUAGGACCUCGGUUCUAUUUUGUUGGUUUCUAGAGCUGAGGUAAUGAUUAAUAGGGAUAGUUGGGGGCAUUCGUAUUUAACUGUCAGAGGUGAAAUUCUUGGAUUUGUUAAAGACGGACUUCUGCGAAAGCAUUUGCCAAGGAUGUUUUCAUUAA